GAUGAACGCUGGCGGCGUGCCUAAUACAUGCAAGUCGAGCGAACGGACGAGAAGCUUGCUUCUCUGAUGUUAGCGGCGGACGGGUGAGUAACACGUGGAUAACCUACCUAUAAGACUGAGAUAACUUCGGGAAACCGGAGCUAAUACCGGAUAAUAUUUUGAACCGCAUGGUUCAAAAGUGAAAGACGGUCUUGCUGUCACUUAUAGAUGGAUCCGCGCUGCAUUAGCUAGUUGGUAAGGUAACGGCUUACCAAGGCAACGAUGCAUAGCCGACCUGAGAGGGUGAUCGGCCACACUGGAACUGAGACACGGUCCAGACUCCUACGGGAGGCAGCAGUAGGGAAUCUUCCGCAAUCGGCGAAAGCCUGACGGAGCAACGCCGCGUGAGUGAUGAAGGUCUUCGGAUCGUAAAACUCUGUUAUUAGGGAAGAACAUAUGUGUAAGUAACUGUGCACAUCUUGACGGUACCUAAUCAGAAAGCCACGGCUAACUACGUG
rnacentral:rRNA from 1 species